rnacentral:rRNA from 1 species
UGGGGAAUAUUGCACAAUGGGCGAAAGCCUGAUGCAGCAACGCCGCGUGAGCGAUGAAGGCCUUCGGGUCGUAAAGCUCUGUCCUCAAGGAAGAUAAUGACGGUACUUGAGGAGGAAGCCCCGGCUAACUACGUGCCAGCAGCCGCGGUAAUACGUAGGGGGCUAGCGUUAUCCGGAAUUACAGGGCGUAAAGGGUGCGUAGGUGGUUUCUUAAGUCAGUGGUGAAAGGCUACGGCUCAACCGUAGUAAGCCUUUGAAAAUGGGAAA